rnacentral:rRNA from 1 species
GACGAACGCUGGCGGCGUGCUUAACACAUGCAAGUCGAACGGAAAGGCCCUGCUUUUGUGGGGUGCUCGAGUGGCGAACGGGUGAGUAACACGUGAGUAACCUGCCCUUGACUUUGGGAUAACUUCAGGAAACUGGGGCUGAUACCGGAUAGGAGCUCCUGCUGCAUGGUGGGGGUUGGAAAGUUUCGGCGGUUGGGGAUGGACUCGCGGCUUAUCAGCUUGUUGGUGGGGUAGUGGCUUACCAAGGCUUUGACGGGUAGCCGGCCUGAGAGGGUGACCGGCCACAUGGGGACUGAGAUACGGCCCAGACUCCUACGGGAGGCAGCAGUGGGGAAUAUUGCACAAUGGGCGGAAGCCUGAUGCAGCAACGCCGCGUGCGGGAUGACGGCCUUCGGGUUGUAAACCGCUUUCGCCUGUGACGAAGCGUGAGUGACGGUAAUGGGUAAAGAAGCACCGGCUACUACGUG